rnacentral:rRNA from 1 species
UACGUAGGGGGCGAGCGUUGUCCGGAUUUACUGGGCGUAAAGGGAGCGUAGGCGGAUAUUUAAGUGGGAUGUGAAAUACCCGGGCUUAACUUGGGUGCUGCAUUCCAAACUGGAUAUCUAGAGUGCAGGAGAGGAAAGUGGAAUUCCUAGUGUAGCGGUGAAAUGCGUAGAGAUUAGGAAGAACACCAGUGGCGAAGGCGACUUUCUGGACUGUAACUGACGCUGAGGCUCGAAAGCGUGGGGAG